UUCCCUCCAUCAUCUCAUCUAUAACACAAAACCCUUGUCCCCUCUACCUCUCGAUUACUACCAGUAGACACAAAGAAAAAGCAUAACACAACUUCAUCCCCUGGAACCCCAUUGCUCUCUCUCCCUCGUGAUCUCUUUGUCGGCCACAGGAGUCACCGACCGGACCAUCACCGGCGCCGGUUAACCGGCCGACGACAGCCGCACCCACUUCACAUCCACCUCUCACACCUGGUAUACCCCCCCCCCCUCGAUUGAGCAGAAAUGACCACCACCACCACAGUCAGGUGGUGGUGAGCGACGGUUGAAGACAGAAGCGGAAGGGAGAGAGAGAGACGAGACGAGAGAGAGAGACGAGACGAAAGAGAGAGAGAGAGAGACGACGAGACAGAGAGAUCGGGAAAAGAGAGAAGGAGGAAAGAGAUCAAUGGCGACGAUCCGCCGCUAGCGGCGGAGCCGCAGCGGUAGGGGUGGCGUUUGUUUGGCUCCGACAAUGUUUCCGAUUGAAUUUGACGUGGGAGCGAUUGCGGUAGGGUCAAGGCGGCGAAGGUAAUGGGGGUGCUCGACUUCAGUUUUAGUUCGGGUUUGGGUAGUCUCGGAAUUUCAGCUUUGUUUCUUUCCGGGUUCGAGUAGUCACAUCAGGAGGAUCGGGUCACGGUUCACGUCAGUUAUGUUUCAGGUUCACAUGGGGUCCGAUUCGGUUUGAGUUUCGUUUCAAAAGUCAAACGGGUUUUGGUUCGAGAUCGAUCAAGCUCAGAUCGGGUUCAACACGGUCAAUUGAGAAAGCGGUUCAGUUGACUCGGUCAAACCGAGUCAACUCAGUCAACACCCGAGUCAACUCGGGUCAAAAUCGGUCUAACAGGUCAAUCCCGGUCAACACGAAGGACCUGGUAAAGUUUUAAGCGUAGCGGAUUACUUUACGUUAGAUUUUAUAUAUUUAACGCGAAACCGAGCUCGACCGAUACCGUUAGUGAUUAGUCACGUUUUAUUUUAUCGUAUUUGAUAAACUUUUAGUA